UCCGAGGUGAACCUGCGGAGGGAUCAUUAACACUGUUUGAGUUGCCUUGUGCAAUUCACUUAAACCACGUGAACUUAUUGGUACUGUGGGAUGCAAAUCUCACAAUUUUUUAAAUACUUAAAUUUGUACUGAAUUUUUUAAAUAAAUUUUAAAAACUUUCAACAAUGGAUGUCUUGGCUCUCGCAACGAUGAAGAACGCAGCAAAGUGCGAUAAUUAAUGUGAAUCGCAAGACUCAGUGAAUCAUCAAAAUUUUGAACGCAAAUGGCGCCUUGUAAGAAUUCUUACAAGGCAUGUCUGUUUGAGUGUCGUUAAAGUAUCAACUUUGCAAAAUACUGCAAAGAAAUUUGAACCUCACUUUGUGUGGUUUGGAAGAAAUGCAUUUAAACUUGUGCUAAAUUAAUCAAGUUAUACAAAUGCUUCGUGUCUUGGCACAAUAUUUUUGAACUUUGACAUCAAAUCAGACAAGAUUACCCACUGAAUUUAAGCAUAUUAAUAAGCGGAGGAAAAGAAACUAACAAGGAUUCCCUCAGUAACGGCGAGUGAACAGGGAAAAGCUCAAGCUUAAAAUCCAAGAUCUUUGGUUUUGGAAUUGUAGCCUAUAGAAAUACAAGCUUAUUUCUAGGGACAGGUUUAAUCGCAUAUGAACGGCGAGCCAGAGAGGGUGACAGCCCCGUAUUUGGCCUGUGAUCUAGUUAUAAUUGUAUCUUCUUCGAGUCGAGCUGUUUGAGAUUGCAGCUCUAAAUGGGUGGUAAACUCCAUCUAAAGCUAAAUAUGGGCGAGAGACCGAUAGUAAACAAGUACUGUGAAGGAAAGAUGAAAAGCGCCUUGAAAAGGGGUGAAAAGUGCCUGAAAUUGUUGAAAGGGAAACGCUUGAAGU
rnacentral:rRNA from 1 species